CGGCGGUCCAUAGCGGCAGGGAAACGCCCGGACCCAUCCCGAACCCGGAAGCUAAGCCUNGGCCCCCCGCAGACCACGGGAUCGAUAGACCAGACCUACAAGACC
rnacentral:rRNA from 1 species